ensembl:ncRNA T21H3.10 ncRNA
UAUAAUUUUUUUGCAUUUGUGAAGUGGGCUGCCGGCUGAUGUCGAAAAAUGCAGAAAAAUGUUGAGAAAUGCACAUGGGGUUCUGGCCUCCCUCGUUGCGCUUUUCGCGCUCCAUUGACAAUCGCCUGCCGGACAUGGGAAAGUCGUGUACUCCACACGGACAAAUAGAUUUAGUUUUCCAAUAAAAACCGGGCCGCGACGCAACAUG